AUAAUAUUGUAUUAUAUUUGCAGAAUAAGCUGACUGAUCUCCAUGCACUAGUAAACCAAGUUAUGAAGAAUAAACACAAGGAGUCACAUACUGAGGACGGUGUAGAGGCUGUAGAGGCUGCAGAGAUUAGCCCUGCUGAGGAUACUUCAAGGAUAUAUGAAUUACUAACCGAGAUUCAGGCUGAUUCUGAUCAUAUGGUGAGUAACUUGGAGAACUUCAAACCUUGGUUCUUCAGUCCAGAGUCUAAUACAAGCAGAGUAAUAACAGUUUAAUAAUUAUAUUGAUAUAUCCUGCAGUAUGUGUGGAUCAAUCAAUCCAGAAUAAAAUCAACCGUUAUAACGAUCGUUAAAAAACUAUUUGCCACCGUUUUUGUACGAUUUUUUUGUAAAUACGAUCAUUUUUGAAAAACGAUUAAUGAAAACGUUAAUAUCCCUAAGUACACCUACAUUAAAUAAUGUGAACUAAAAGUUAGGCUUUUUAUCAUUUUACAACGUAUAUAGAAAUAUUUUUUAGUUCAUUUUGAUCAUAAUUUGAAUAUGGAAAAAUGUAAUUUCAUCCCACUCUGCAGUUUAUUAAUCCUAGUUAUGUCAGUUCAGAAGUGAUCCAUCUUUUUUCCUUCUGUUUUCCUCUUUAUUUUUCCCUUCUGUUUUUCUCUUUAUUUUUCCCUUCUGUUUUCCUC